rnacentral:ncRNA from 1 species
AGUCCACUUAUCUCCAGCCCGUGAUCCUAGACAAUACAAUGGUAUAUGAUAGCACACAAUUAUAUGAAAAUGAGCAUAGAUCCAAAUAUUCCUGAAUAGGUUAACCUUUUUAAUUGUUGCUUAAUCAAUGGCUAGGCAAGAGAAAACCUAGCGAACUAAAACAUCUUAGUAACCAGAGGAAUAGAAAGCAAAAGUGAUUCCUGUAGUAGCGACGAAUGAAAUGGGAGUAGCCUAAACCGUGAAAAUGAGGUUGUGGGAGAGCACAAUAUAAGAUCUGUGCUAUUAGGUGAAGUGGUUGAGUCCUUCACCCUUGAUGGUGAGAGUCCAGUAUCCAGAAGAAUCAUUGGGUUAUGCUCUAACCUGAGUAGCAUGGAGCACGUGGAAUCCCGUGUGAAUCAACAAGGACGACGUUGCAAGGCUAAAUACUCUUGGGUGAGUGAUAGGGAAGUACUACCGUGAGGGAAAGAUGAAAAUAACCUGCAUCGGGGAGUGAAAUAGAACAUGAAACUAUAAGCUCCCAAGCAGUGGGAGGAAAAUGAUAUCUCAGACUGCAUGCCUAUUGAAGAAUGAGUAGUUGACUUAUAGGCAAUGGCUUGGUUAAGGGAACCCACCGAAGCUAUAUCAAGAGAGAGUCUUCAUGGGGAAAUUGUCACUGCUUAUGGACCCGAACCUGGGUGAUCUAUCCAUGACUAGGAGGAAGCUUGGGUGAAACUAAGUGGAGAUUCGAACCGAUUGAUGUUGAAAAAUCAGUGGAUGAGUCAUGGUUAGGGGUGAAAUUCCACUCGAACCCAGAGUUAGUUGGUUCUCCUGGAAAUGUGUAGAGGCACUACAGUUGACUGGAACAUCUAGGGGUAAAGCACUAUUUUGGUACGAGCCGCGAGAGAGGUACCAAAUCGAGGAAAACUCUGAUAAACAUCAACCAAUGAGAUGAUGGGGGAUAAACUUCAUCAUCGAGAGGGAAAUAUCCUAGAUCAUCAGCUAAGGCCCCUAAAUGACUGCUCAGUGAUGAAGGAAGUACGAGUGCAAAGACAACCAGGAGGUUUGCCUAAAAGCAACCAACCUUGAAAGAGUGCAUAAUAACUCACUGAUUGAGCGCUCUUGCACAGAAUAUGAAUGGGACUAAGCAAUCUACCGAAGUUGUGGGAUGUAAAAAUACAACGGUAGGGGAGAAAAAUGGCCCAAAUAUGCUAGUGCUACUAGCUUGGAAGGUAGUGGUGCCAAAGCACCCCACAAGGAAGUAAGUGCCUAGUUUGGUGUAAGUUGGUAGGAAUUAGCAUAUUUUAAAUGUGUGAUCAGGCACUCGAUUUACCUUAAUUUACCACCUCAUCACUUGGUCAAUGUGUCAUGCCACCAUUGGAUGUGAAGAAUGCCAAAUUUCAACUAUCCUUGUUGUCACCU